GUAGUCCACGCUGUAAACGAUGAGAGCUAGUUGUUGGAACCUUUAGGUUUCAGUGACGCAGCUAACGCGGUAAGCUCUCCGCCUGGGGAGUACGGUCGCAAGAUUAAAACUCAAAGGAAUUGACGGGGACCCGCACAAGCGGUGGAGCAUGUGGUUUAAUUCGAGGCAACGCGAAGAACCUUACCAGGCCUUGACAUGGUUAGUAUGAUUUCCAGAAAUGGAUUUCUUCAGUUUGGCUGGCUAACACACAGGUGCUGCAUGGCUGUCGUCAGCUCGUGUCGUGAGAUGUUGGGUUAAGUCCCGCAACGAGCGCAACCCUCAUCUUUAGUUGCUACCAUUCAGUUGAGCACUCUAAAGAAACUGCCAGCGUUAAGCUGGA
rnacentral:rRNA from 1 species